UACGUAGGGGGCUAGCGUUGUCCGGAAUCAUUGGGCGUAAAGCGCGCGUAGGCGGCCCGGUAAGUCCGCUGUGAAAGUCAAAGGCUCAACCUUUGAAUGUCAGCGGAUACUGCCGGGCUAGAGUCCGGAAGAGGCGAGUGGAACUCCUGGUGUAGCGGUGGAAUGCGCAGAUAUCAGGAAGAACACCAACGGCGAAGGCAGCUCGCUGGGACGGAACUGACGCUGAGGCGCGAAAGCCAGGGGAGCAAACGGG
rnacentral:rRNA from 1 species